rnacentral:rRNA from 1 species
CUGGCUCAGGACGAACGCUGGCGGCGUGCUUAACACAUGCAAGUUGAACGGUAUGACAUGGAAGCUUGCUGAAGUGUCAUAUAGUAGCGGACGGGUGAGUAAUGCAUGAGAAGCUGCCAUUGGGAGGGGGACAACAGUUGGAAACGGCUGCUAAUACCCCGUAUGCCGGAGGGUGAAAGGGAGUAAUCCGCCCGAUGAGGUGCUCAUGUCCUAUCAGCUGGUUGGUGGGGUAACGGCCUACCAAGGCGACGACGGGUAGCCGGCCUGAGAGGGUGAACGGCCACACUGGAACUGAGAUACGGUCCAGACUCCUACGGGAGGCAGCAGUGGGGAAUAUUGGGCAAAAUGGGGGCAACCCUGACCCAGCGACGCCGCGUGGGGGAAGACGGCCUUCGGGUUGUAAACCUCUUUUGUACGGGAAGAAGGAAGUGACGGUACUGUACGAAUAAGUCCCGGCUAACUACGUGCCAGCCGCUGC